rnacentral:rRNA from 1 species
ACUCCUACGGGAGGCAGCAGUGGGGAAUAUUGCACAAUGGGCGCAAGCCUGAUGCAGCAACGCCGCGUGAGGGACGACGGCCUUCGGGUUGUAAACCUCUUUUAGUAGGGAAGAAGCGAAAGUGACGGUACCUGCAGAAAAAGCCCCGGCUAACUACGUGCCAGCAGCCGCGGUAAUACGUAGGGUGCAAGCGUUAUCCGGAAUUAUUGGGCGUAAAGAGCUCGUAGGCGGUUUGUCGCGUCUGCUGUGAAAACUGGAGGCUCAACCUCCAGCCUGCAGUGGGUACGGGCAGACUAGAGUGCGGUAGGGGAGAUUGGAAUUCCUGGUGUAGCGGUGGAAUGCGCAGAUAUCAGGAGGAACACCGAUGGCGAAGGCAGAUCUCUGGGCCGUAACUGACGCUGAGGAGCGAAAGCAUGGGGAGCGAACAGGAUUAGAUACCCUGGUAGUCCAUGCCGUAAACGUUGGGAACUAGAUGUAGGGACCAUUCCACGGUUUCUGUGUCGCAGCUAACGCAUUAAGUUCCCCGCCUGGGGAGUACGGCCGCAAGGCUAAAACUCAAAGGAAUUGACGGGGGCCCGCACAAGCGGCGGAGCAUGCGGAUUAAUUCGAUGCAACGCGAAGAACCUUACCAAGGCUUGACAUAUACCGGAAAAGUGCAAAAAUGUACUCCCCGCAAGGUCGGUAUACAGGUGGUGCAUGGUUGUCGUCAGCUCGUGUCGUGAGAUGUUGGGUUAAGUCCCGCAACGAGCGCAACCCUCGUUCUAUGUUGCCAGCACGUAAUGGUGGGAACUCAUAGGAGACUGCCGGGGUCAACUCGGA